CCUACGGGAGCAGCAGUGGGGAAUUUUGGACAAUGGGCGCAAGCCUGAUCCAGCAAUGCCGCGUGCAGGAUGAAGGCCUUCGGGUUGUAAACUGCUUUUGUACGGAACGAAAAAGUCUGCCCUAAUACGGUGGGCCCAUGACGGUACCGUAAGAAUAAGCACCGGCUAACUACGUGCCAGCAGCCGCGGUAAUACGUAGGGUGCGAGCGUUAAUCGGAAUUACUGGGCGUAAAGCGUGCGCAGGCGGUUAUAUAAGACAGAUGUGAAAUCCCCGGGCUCAACCUGGGACCUGCAUUUGUGACUGUAUAGCUAGAGUACGGUAGAGGGGGAUGGAAUUCCGCGUGUAGCAGUGAAAUGCGUAGAUAUGCGGAGGAACACCGAUGGCGAAGGCAAUCCCCUGGACCUGUACUGACGCUCAUGCACGAAAGCGUGGGGAGCAAACAGGAUUAGAUACCCUGGUAGUCCACGCCCUAAACGAUGUCAACUGGUUGUUGGGUCUUCACUGACUCAGUAACGAAGCUAACGCGUGAGUUAGUACCGCCGUCGGGAGGUACGGCCGGCCGAAGGUUAGGUAAACGUACAAAGUAGUAAGUUAGUACGGCGUGAGACGUAGCCGAACGGACGACCGACCGAGGGGAGGGUUAGGGAGG
rnacentral:rRNA from 1 species